CAGCCAGAGGGUGCUGGAGAGGAGUACUGGAGGGAAGAUUUCGCUACAAUUUUCCUCACAAGGCUAAAUCCAUUGCUGUGAAGACCAGAGGAAGCUAUUCCAAUAACAACGUCCCCUUCAGUGAUUCUUUCCAGGGCCAGGAGGAAACAACCCCUACUCUGUCUGUUUGGCACUGAGAGAGAUGGAAGUGGAAAUGGUGGCCAAGGAUCACAGAGAAAGGCCAGAAGAGGAUCAUUAAAACCGGCUGCUUUCAAAUCAAAAAGACCAGCAAAACCUCCAAGAUCAACAUCACAGCCUGUUGGAGAAAAUUAUUAGCUGCAUUUCAAUAGCCAAGAACUGAUUAAGAAGGCAG